AUGGCCAUAUCAUGUUGAAACACCGGUUCCCCUACGAUCACCAAAGUUAAUCAACUUUGAGUACCGAGAUGGUUGACCGCUUGGAAAUACCAGGUGCUGUGA